rnacentral:rRNA from 1 species
UACGAAGGGAGCUAGCGUUGUUCGGAAUCACUGGGCGUAAAGCGCACGUAGGCGGAUCGAUCAGUCAGGGGUGAAAUCCCAGAGCUCAACUCCAGAACUGCCUUUGAUACUGGCGAUCUUGAGUCCGGGAGAGGUGAGUGGAACUGCGAGUGUAGAGGUGAAAUUCGUAGAUAUUCGCAAGAACACCAGUGGCGAAGGCGGCUCACUGGCCCGGUACUGACGCUGAGGUGCGAAAGCGUGGGGAGCAAACGGG